CCUACGCGAGGCAGCAGUGAGGAAUAUUGGUCAAUGGACGAGAGUCUGAACCAGCCAAGUAGCGUGAAGGAUGACUGCCCUAUGGGUUGUAAACUUCUUUUAUAUGGGAAUAAAACAGGGUAUGCAUACCCUCUUGUAUGUACCAUAUGAAUAAGGAUCGGCUAACUCCGUUCCAGCAGCCGCGGUAAUACGGAGGAUCCGAGCGUUAUCCGGAUUUGUUGGGUUUAAAGGGAGCGUAGGUGGAUUGUGAAGUCAGUUGUGAAAGUUUGCGGCUCAACCGUAAAAUUGCAGUUGAAACUGGCAGCCUUGAGUACAGUAGAGGUGGGCGGAAUUCGUGGUGUAGCGGUGAAAUGCUUAGAUAUCACGAAGAACUCCGAUUGCGAAGGCAGCUCACUGGACUGCAACUGACACUGAUGCGCGAAAGUGUGGGUAUCAAACAGGAUUAGAUACCCCAGUAGUC
rnacentral:rRNA from 1 species